UUCUGCCAAUUUUCUGGGAGCUCUUCAGUGCCGUUCUGCGGGAGCCCAUUGAGGUUUUUGUGGAAGCAGAGCUCUAAGCCUGUGUGUUCCGGUCUCCCCCAGGUGGCCCCAAUGUCAGUGUAUGCUUGUCUGGGCAAUGAUGCGGCUGCCAUUCGUGAUGCCUUCCUGACCCGAUUGCAGAGCAAAAUUGAGGACAUGCGCAUCAAAGUCAUGAUUCUAGAGUUCCUCACGGUUGCAGUAGAGACCCAGCCAGGCCUCAUCGAACUGUUUCUGAACCUGGAAGUUAAGGAUGGCAGUGAUGGCUCAAAGGAAUUCAGCCUUGGGAUGUGGAGCUGUCUCCAUGCAGUGCUGGAGCUAAUUGAUUCCCAACAGCAAGAUCGAUACUGGUGCCCACCCCUGCUGCAUCGUGCCGCCAUUGCCUUUUUGCAUGCUCUGUGGCAGGAUCGGAGGGACAGUGCCAUGCUGGUCCUCCGAACCAAACCCAAGUUUUGGGAAAAUUUAACCAGUCCGCUGUUUGGAACCCUUUCUCCUCCCUCUGAAACAUCAGAGCCCAGCAUCCUGGAAACCUGUGCCCUAAUCAUGAA
rnacentral:sRNA from 1 species